rnacentral:misc_RNA from 1 species
GAUGAAGAACGUAGCGAAAUGCGAUAAGUAAUGUGAAUUGCAGAAUUCAGUGAAUCAUCGAAUCUUUGAACGCACAUUGCGCCCCUUGGUAUUCCGAGGGGCAUGCCCGUUCGAGCGUCAUUAUACCCCUCAAGCCUAGCUUGGUGUUGGGGCCUGCUGUUACCGGCAGCCCUUAAAAUCAGUGGCGGUGCCAUCUGGCUCUAAGCGUAGUAAUACUUCUCGCUACAGGGUCCCGGUGGAUGCUUGCCAUCAACCCCUAAUUUUCUAUGGUUGACCUCGGAUCGGGUAGGGAUACCCGCUGAACUUAAGCAUAUCAAUAAGCGAAGGA